rnacentral:rRNA from 1 species
GACAGAGGUGCCGAGCGUUAGGCGGAAUCACUGGGCUUAAAGCGUGUGUAGGCGGACCGUUAAGUACCUUGUGAAAUCCCCCGGCUCAACCGGGGAACGGCUGGGUAUACUGGCGGUCUUGAGCCACCUAGGGGCGAGCGGAACAAAUGGUGGAGCGGUGAAAUGCGUAGAUAUCAUUUGGAACGCCAACGGUGAAAACAGCUCGCUGGGGGUGUGCUGACGCUGAGACACGAAAGCCAGGGUAGCGAACGGG